GACGAACGCUGGCGGCGUGCCUAAUACAUGCAAGUAGAACGCUGAAGAGAGGAGCUUGCUCUUCUUGGAUGAGUUGCGAACGGGUGAGUAACGCGUAGGUAACCUGCCUUGUAGCGGGGGAUAACUAUUGGAAACGAUAGCUAAUACCGCAUAACAAUGGAUGACACAUGUCAUUUAUUUGAAAGGGGCAAUUGCUCCACUACAAGAUGGACCUGCGUUGUAUUAGCUAGUAGGUGAGGUAACGGCUCACCUAGGCGACGAUACAUAGCCGACCUGAGAGGGUGAUCGGCCACACUGGGACUGAGACACGGCCCAGACUCCUACGGGAGGCAGCAGUAGGGAAUCUUCGGCAAUGGGGGCAACCCUGACCGAGCAACGCCCGCGUGAGUGAAGAAAGGGUUUUCGGGAUCGUAAAAGCUCUGUUGUAAAGUCAAAGAAACGAAGU
rnacentral:rRNA from 1 species